UGGAAAACAGAACAUUUGGCUAGUGCAUAAAAAGACAAAGUUUAAAUACUUUUUACAUGUCAACAUCUGUACUUACCUAAGUUGCUGUAUGUAGCACUGCAGGGGUUCAGGUCUACAGGACCUGCAGUAUCAUCUUUUUCCUCUUCCUUUUCCAGGUCGGGUGUGGGCAAUGCUGGUGUGACUGAAGUACCAUCUUGCUUUACUACAACAGUUCUUGGAUCCCGAUGAGAAAAUUCCUCUGGCACAUCGUGAGUCAUGUGACUGAAACAAAUCAGACCACCUGUGAAACUGCUGUAGUGAGUCACUGUGACAUUUACAAGACUGUACCAUCAGAGCACUUACCACCUGGAGAUUUAAAGGAAUAGAUCUGAAGGAGGAGUACUUUCUUAUCAAAAGAGUUGAUACCAUGAGGAAGAAGAUAACAGAGAAAAUGAAAAGUUACCCCGUCCUAUCCAUGAGACAGAUGG